GUCCAGGGUGGGAGAAAGUACUCUUGUCUGCUUAAGGCAAGUGUGGAUGUUGCAAUUGGCCACCUUGAUUAGCUUUGAAUUGCCUUGCAUCUUCAAAGCCUGGCUGCUUCCUGCCUGGGGGGAUCCUUUGUUGGGAGGUGUUAGCUGGCCCUGAUUGUUUCAUGUCUGGAAUUCCUCUGUUUUUGAGUGUUUUUUUACUGUCCGGAUUUUAUUUAUUUAUUUCCCAUACUUGUGUCCCGCCCUUCUCACCCCGAAGUUUUGGGGGGGGGGGCAAAGUUCUGUUCGCCUACACUUGAAAAUUACAUUGGGCUGGAUCUGCCCAUGACUGUGCUUUGACCUGUUUUAAAACCAACAGAGCAGGGGCUGAACUGAAUCAGACCUCUAUUGUGAUUGGAGGAAUUGUAACCCUUUACCCACAUCCUUCGAUACCACAGUUCUGAUCAGAGUUUGCAAACAGAGUAAAGCUCCAGUCAUCAUCAUCAUCAUCAUCAUCAUCAUCAUCUUCACAUGACGUUGAUUGACUACAAAAAGGCCUUUGACUCACUCCAACACAUCAAGUGCCUGGACGCCAUCGGGAUUUGUAAAAACGUUGGCACCUUUAUUGAAAACAUGAUGGUGCCAACGUUUUUACUAAUCCCGAUGGCGUCCAGGCACUUGAUGAUCCAGCUGUGUGGGAGUGAGUCAAAGGCCUUUUUGUAGUCAAUCCACGUCAUGUGAAGAUUAGCUUUUCGGCUUUUACAGUUCUCCAGAAUCAUUUUGUCAAUCAAUAACUGGUCUUUUGUGCUCCUGCUUUUCCGUUUGUUGCCUUUCUGUUCAUCUGGCAAGAUGUUUUUUUCUUCAAGAUAGUCUUGAAUUCUAUCAGCCAUGAUGCCAGUCAGUAGUUUAAACAUAGUGGGCAGACACGUUAUUGGCCUGUAGUUUCCUGGUGGUGAUCCUUUUGCGGGAUCCUUUUGUAUCAGGUAUGUACUUCCAGUUGUUAGCCAUUCACUGAUACUUCCUUUCUGCAGCAUCUCAUUAAAUUGUUGGGCCAUUUUUCCAUGUAAACUAAUCAGAUGUUUGAGCCAAAAUCCAUGAAGUUGAUCACUACCAGGCGAUGUCCAGUUCUUGACUUUUUGCACUCAUUUGCUGAUCAUUUCAGUUGUUAUUUCCAUC
ensembl:lncRNA